rnacentral:rRNA from 1 species
GAUGAACGCUGGCGGCGUGCCUAAUACAUGCAAGUCGAGCGAACAGAUGAUGAGCUUGCUCCUCUCACGUUUGCGGCGGACGUGUGUGUAACACGUGUAAAACCUACCUAUAAGACUGGGAUAAUUUCGGGAAACCGGAGCUAAUACCGUAUAAUAUAUUGAACCGCAUGGUUCAAUAGUGAAAGACGGCUUUGCUGUCACUUAUAGAUGGAUCCGCGCUGCAUUAGCUGGUUGGUAAGGUAACGGCUUAUCAAGGCAACGAUGCGUAGCCGACGGGACAGAGUGAUCGGCGGCACGGGAACUGGGCCGCCGUCCAGGGUACUGCGGGAGGCAGCAGUAGCGUAUGUGACGCAGUGGGCGGAAACCUGGCGGAACGGCGGCACGUGAGAGAUGGAAAUCUUCGGAGCGUAAAACCCGCUUAUGAGGGAAGAACAGAUGUGGAAGGAGACAUGGACGUAGUGACGGUACCUGAUAAGAAAGCAACGGCUAACUACGUG